CUGGUCUUCAGGAUCCAGACCUGAGAGGGGGUUCUGGUCAGGUCUGGUCUUCAGGAUCCAGACCUGAGAGGGGGUUCUGGUCAGAGGGGUUCUGGUCGGGUCUGGUCUUCAGGAUCCAGACCUGAGAGGGGGUUCUGGUCAGAGGGGUUCUGGUCAGAGAGGGUUCUGGUCAGGUCUGGUCUUCAGGAUCCAGACCUAAGAGGGGGUUCUGGUCAGAGGGGUUCUGGUCAGAGAGGGUUCUGGUCGGGUCUGGUCUUCAGGAUCCAGACCUAAGAGGGGGUUCUGGUCAGAGGGGUUCUGGUCAGAGGGGUUCUGGUCGGGUCUGGUCUUCAGGAUCCAGACCUGAGAGGGGGUUCUGGUCAGAGGGGUUCUGGUCAGAGGGGUUCUGGUCAGAGAGGGUUCUGGUCAGAGAGGGUUCUGGUCGGGUCUGGUCUUCAGGAGUCACCUGGUUAAUCAAAGGGGGGGCGGAGUGUUUUCAGACCACGGUCCGCUUUAAUGUCAGACAUUAUCUUCAUGGACCGGCCCGAUUGAAGAUGAGGGGAUUCCUUAACUGUUGAGGUUCAUCUUUAUCCUCUAAAAUAUUUGCAGCUGCUUCAAACUUAAUCGAUCCUGGACUAAAAUGUUGAGAUCAACCUGAAUCUGAUCUGUUUAGAGUGAAUGAUUGUUAAAUUCUCACUUUAGUGAUUCUGCUUUCUGAUCUUUUGUUUUUCGUCCGUACGCUUUUUGGUACAUAAAAACUAGAAACACUUUCAACAAUUUCUAAAAUCUUGGUAUCAAAACGUUCAGCUCGUUAAGGACAUUAUCGGUUGUAUUUUUGGUUUGCUUAAAUUUUACGAUUUUUAAGAUUUUACGCAAUUUAAGCAAUUUUUUUCAGUACAAUUGAAAUGAAUGGGGAUUCCUGCAAUUUAUGCACUUAAAAACUUUCAGCAUGUUCAGGAAAUUCAUGCUUUUACAUUUGGAUUGUUAAACUUUACACUAAUAUUGAAACUUAAUGAAAUUGUA